CCACAUGGGGUCACUGUGUGUCCACACAGUGGAGCUGCUGUCAAUGUUCUCAAAUGACUCCUGCUUCCUGUAAUUCCUAGACAUCUGAGUUCAAGGGACAAUGCACUCAAUUCCAAAGCAAAAUGUGAUUUGCUAUCUCAGGCAGGCACAGUGACUGAACAGGCCUAUGGCAAAACUUCCAAUUUUUAGAGUACCACUACAAAUAUGAAUUUGAAAGAAAAAACAAUGUCCCCAAAUGAUCACAUCAAAGAUCAUCAUGAUAUAAACAAAUACCAAUGUGGAAAUAAAACUUCCUUUCUUAUAUUUGAACUUGCAGCACACUACCUCUUCUAUGUAGGUUUUUCUCAUCACCACCUCCUUCAUACAGUUUACUUGUUCCCCAUUUGUCUGCACAGGUCUAGUCAUUUGUAUUCAUGUUCAAGUAGAAUGAGUUUCCUGCAGGUUGGGAACAUUGUUUAUCUAUCUUCAUUUUCAGUUCAACUCAAACAACAAAACUCAUGACAUGUGGAAAAAAUUGGAACCAUGUUCUUGGAAUAAAAGUUUGGUCAUUCUCACAUUUACAUAUAAAGUCCUGGAUGAGUUUAAGAAUACUCCAUAAAGUCUGAACUACAUGAUGUUAGAAACAACCCAAUAAUAAACAAUUCCUUCUUCAGAUGAGGAAACUGAGGUCAAGAUUAAGUGGGUGGCUUAGAGACACUUGGUAAAUUGGUGUCGGAAUGAAACUAUCCAUCCUUGUCUUCACUCUGUCCACUGGCCUUAUAGUUCACUCCAUGCAAUCACUAAGUCCCAAAUAAACCAUUUAGAGAUCUCAAUACUUCCUGGCAAUGUUAAAAGCAGAAAUGUGUUGAUUUGACACUAAAACUUCAACACGCUUUUCCUUCUAUUUGAAAGCACUCACUCAGGUGGUCUGGGUUCCUAUGGCAUUGCCCCUUCCUUUUACUUUUUUUGAUAUUAGUUAAAUCUGCUUGGAGGGACUCCUUUCUUCAUCUGUACAAUCUUUGGGAUGCAUGAGCUGAAUUACGAAGGGGAUGAAUUCUUUGGGAAAUAACUUAUAUACAUAGAAGUUUCCCUCCUGUGACCUACCUCAGUCAGCAAAGGGAGUUGAAGCUCAUGGAAUACUUUUGGCUCCCACACUGAUGUUCCUGCCUGCUAUGAUCUUCAGAUUUGGCAGUUGUCGUUACUAUAGAGAAGCCCUUUUCGUCAUGCUUGAGAUUAGUUUACCACUUAAUAAAUUCCUUCCAACACCAUGUUCUGUGAGUUAACAAGCAACUUCCCCUGUGAUUUCAGUCUGGCUCACAACAAAUUACACUUUGGAAAAAGAUUUACUAGUCCAGAGCAUUUUCCAGGUAGCACAUUCCAACCUUGAAGAAACUUGGUCAUUUUUACUUUCAGACUUGUGGUGUCCUUUUGGCUGAAAAUAACACAUCAAGGUGUGGCAUGCCCUGUUCUCUGGCAUCAAAAGUUCUUUUCUAGAUAAUAUUUUAGACCAGACUAUCCUUUUUUCAAAGCAGUUUUUAUAAAGCCCUGUUUGGGAAAUUAUUUAUAUAAUUUACAAUAUCUGCUGGGCAAAUCCUCAGCACUCGUUUUCACUAGGUUUUUAUGGAGCACCAACAAUAGAUAGUUUUGUGCCGACCAUGGUGUAAGGCAUUAAAAGGUGCUCUCAUAUAAUUGUUUUGUCCCUGACAUACCUUGGAUUUUCCCACCCUUUUCUUAAGUAACUUGAUUCAAAGAGGAGUUUCUGUGUGCUAAUUUAAUGAAAUAUAGUCACCAGUGAUUUUGUCCAAAAUUGUUCCACUAAAUGAGUGCCUGCUGAUAGCAGACAGCUUGAGUGGCCCGUGAAACUUCUCAUAAAGAAGAUAGGCAUUUGGAAGUUGCAUCUAGUUGACUUCGGACCUCUCCUCACAACACAAAGGAACUUCAUUUUAUUACAGCAAAUGUCCAUCAAGUUGUAGCCAAUGACACCAGUCUUUGUUUCACCAGCCAGCAAUAAAAGAUAAAGCAGAGGAAAUGGAGGCGCUGUAGCAAGGCGUUUGCAACACACCAAGCCCGUGUUUUCCCACUAGGCACUGCAGAACAGCGGCUGUCCAUGCACAGCACACCCUCUGCAUUUCAGAGCUAAUAUUUUGGCAGUUCUCAACUUGGUACAUUACAGUCUUACGCAGUUAAUUUUGUUAACCCUUUGAAGUGUUCUAUGUGUUUGAUAACCUGGCUUCGUAGCCCUGCUAACAUGACCCAGAUUGACAGAUGGCUGAUUCUCAGUAUUGAGAAUAGAAACUUCAAGGAAAUAAAGUAAGACAUUUGAGAGGAAGGUAAUGAUUUCAAACAACCCUGUCUUACUUACUGUCGCAUGACUUUGACUAGGAAAAGAAGAAAGCUGUUACAAAAUAUCUGUCACUUGAAUUGCCUUCACAAUAAUUGUUUCUGUGAAUAAGAAUUUUUCAUAGUAGAGACCCCUUGGGCCUAUUACAACGUCCCACUGAAAACAGCAUUAGCUCUGUGUUCCGUCUCUCUCCUGCAGCAUUUAGUGUGUUUCCUGGAUACAAAUGCACACGCCUGCCUUCUGGUGCAAAGAGCUUUCCUCUACCAUUGCAAUAGUCACCCUGGACAGACUAAAUGAAGAACAGAAUUUUUAGAUGAUUAAUUAGUCCCCAGGCUCAAUCACUUAAGGCCCUAAUUAAAUAUCUGGCUCUGCUUUCAACUGAUGUAAGAAAAGAUAAUUAGCAAAAUUUGCAGUGGUAAUAAAGUUUUAUUUUCCUUAGUGAUAAUAAGAUCUAAAUCAUUGGCUGUGUAACUUAGUGCCUACAUCUAGCCUGUUGACUUUGAAAUUCAAAACAUUUUUAAACUAGAAGACAACAAGGCAAGAAGUCAUUCCGCCCCCAUCCAGAUUCUAUGAUUCAGAUACCUUCUAUCAAUCUGUGUCUAGCUGCUUCCUCUUUCCCACUAAUUUCUUAAAUUAGUUAUCGGCUAUUCACCAAGACGAUAAACUCGAGACAAACCUAACUUUCUUUUUUCCCUGUUCCACAAACCUCACUAAACCCUUUACCAACAUUUCCCUACCUUGUUCCACCAAAAAUAAAAAAAGAACCCAACUGAAAGAUUUACAUUGGAAAAGAAAUAUUGCAUUCAUUAAAAAGAAAUGUU